GAUGAACGCUGGCGGCGUGCCUAAUACAUGCAAGUCGAGCGAACAGACGAGGAGCUUGCUCCUCUGACGUUAGCGGCGGACGGGUGAGUAACACGUGGAUAACCUACCUAUAAGACUGGGAUAACUUCGGGAAACCGGAGCUAAUACCGGAUAAUAUAUUGAACCGCAUGGUUCAAUAGUGAAAGACGGUUUUGCUGUCACUUAUAGCUGGAUCCGCGCCGCAUUAGCUAGUUGGUAAGGUAACGGCUUACCAAGGCAACGAUGCGUAGCCGACCUGAGAGGGUGAUCGGCCACACUGGAACUGAGACACGGUCCAGACUCCUACGGGAGGCAGCAGUAGGGAAUCUUCCGCAAUGGGCGAAAGCCUGACGGAGCAACGCCGCGUGAGUGAUGAAGGUCUUCGGAUCGUAAAACCCUGUUAUUAGGGAAGAACAAAUGUGUAAGUAACUAUGCACGUCUUGACGGUACCUAAUCAGAAAGCCACGGCUAACUACGUG
rnacentral:rRNA from 1 species